rnacentral:piRNA from 1 species
UAUACCUAACGAGCCAUAAUGUACAGCAGGCG